CACGUAGGGGGCAAGCGUUGUCCGGAUUUAUUGGGCGUAAAGAGCUCGUAGGUGGUUCGGUAAGUCAGGUGUGAAACCUCCAGGCUCAACCUGGAGACGCCACUUGAUACUGCUGUGACUGGAGUCCGGUAGGGGAGCGUGGAAUUCCUGGUGUAGCGGUGAAAUGCGCAGAUAUCAGGAGGAACACCAGCGGCGAAGGCGGCGCUCUGGGCCGGAACUGACGCUGAGGAGCGAAAGCGUGGGUAGCAAACAGG
rnacentral:rRNA from 1 species